GAUGAACGCUGGCGGCGUGCCUAAUACAUGCAAGUCGAGCGAACAGAUAAGGAGCUUGCUCCUUUGACGUUAGCGGCGGACGGGUGAGUAACACGUGGAUAACCUACCUAUAAGACUGGGAUAACUUCGGGAAACCGGAGCUAAUACCGGAUAACAUAUUGAACCGCAUGGUUCAAUAGUGAAAGGCGGCUUUGCUGUCACUUAUAGAUGGAUCCGCGCCGUAUUAGCUAGUUGGUAAGGUAACGGCUUACCGAGGCAACGAUACGUAGCCGACCUGAGAGGGUGAUCGGCCACACUGGAACUGAGACACGGUCCAGACUCCUACGGGAGGCAGCAGUAGGGAAUCUUCCGCAAUGGGCGAAAGCCUGACGGAGCAACGCCGCGUGAGUGAUGAAGGUCUUCGGAUCGUAAAACCCUGUUAUCAGGGAAGAACAAAUGUGUAAGUAACUGUGCACAUCUUGACGGUACCUGAUCAGAAAGCCACGGCUAACUACGUG
rnacentral:rRNA from 1 species